UACGUAGGGUGCAAGCGUUGUCCGGAAUUAUUGGGCGUAAAGAGCUCGUAGGCGGUUUGUCGCGUCUGCUGUGAAAACUCGGGGCUUAACCCCGGGCCUGCAGUGGGUACGGGCAGACUAGAGUGCGGUAGGGGAGACUGGAAUUCCUGGUGUAGCGGUGAAAUGCGCAGAUAUCGGGAGGAACACCCGUAGCGAAGGCGGCACUCUGGGCCGGUACUGACGCUGAGGAGCGAAAGCGUGGGGAGCAAACAGG
rnacentral:rRNA from 1 species